rnacentral:rRNA from 1 species
AUACGGAGGGUGCGAGCGUUACUCGGAAUCACUGGGCGUAAAGCGCGCGCAGGCGGGCUGAUAAGUUGGAUGUGAAAGCCUACGGCUCAACCGUAGAACUGCAUCCAAAACUGUCAGUCUAGAGUGUGGGAGGGGAAGAUGGAAUUAGUUGUGUAGGGGUAAAAUCCGUAGAGAUAACUAGGAAUACCAAAAGCGAAGGCAAUCUUCUGGAACACUACUGACGCUGAGGCGCGAAGGCGUGGGGAGCAAACAGGAUUAGAAACCCGGGUAGUCC